CAGCUCUGCUCCUUAGAUGGAAAAUCUCCUCUCAAAUGAAACUUGUUUCCUUCUCCUGUAGCUUCAGAAAAAGAGAUUACCUAGACAUAUUUUCUUUGUUCCACAUUACUUCACUUGGAAUGAUGCCAAACAUUUUUAGGUCUUUAUUUUUAAUCACAAACUCACAUAUUUUUUGAUGCUAUUAGAGGGACACAAAUAAAUAUAUGCCCUCCUUUUUCUCUUCAACAUCCCUCCUUCUAUUCCUUCCUUCGAAUAAUCAUAAAAAAUUCAUAACCUGGCCUGAGUUUAAUCCCAAGGUCUCUGUUUCUGAUUUUCUUCCAUUCCUGCUCCCGCAGAUGUAAGAGUUAAAACAAAAAUUAUAUGGCUGCAGGCUAUGAGAUGACUAAUCCAUUAUAUAUAUA